UUUUAUUUUAUUUUUUUUAUUCUUUUUUUUUCUUUGUUCUUUUAUAUUACAACUCGUUACGCGUUGUAAAUUUGUAACUUUAAUGUAACACAUAUAUAGAUCAAAAUUUUUAAAGAAAAAAAAAAAAAAAAUACAAAAUAUAAAAUAAUGCACAUACAUGUAAUAUAUAUAUAUAUAUAUAUAUAGAGUCAAUCAUAAAAAAAGGAUAAUUAAUAAGCAUAUAUCUUCAUAUAUAUAUAUAAUAUGUACAUAUGUAAUAUUAUUUGUAUGUACAGAUAAAAAGCCUUAUCUUAAAAAAAAUUUGUAUUUACGCAUAUAUAUAUAUAUAUAUAUAUAUAUAUAUAUAUAUUUAUUUAUUUAUUUAUUUAUUUAUUUAUUUAUUUAUUUAUUUAUAUUUAUGUACUUAAUUAUUUUGCAUAAAAUGAAUUAUAUUUUAAUCUAUAUAAACUUAUAUGUAACUAUUUGUUCUUAAUAAUAUAUAAAAUAUAAGUCGUUUUCUUUACAACAAUUUUAUAACAUGGCUUAUUAAUAAGUUAUGUAUAAUAAUUAAUCACAUAUAUUUAAAUAUAUAAUAAGUAUAUGAAUGAAAUCUUCUUUUUUUAUUAAAUAUAAUAUAAUAUAUUAAAAAUAAAAAAUAUAUAUAUAUAUAUUAUAUACAUAGAACAGUACUAUUUUAUUUUAUUUAAUAUAUUUUGUGUUUUAUAUGUAUAAUUCUAGAAUAUAUUUAGAGUAUAAAAAGAAAAUAAUUUCAGAAGUCUAUAUAUAUAUAUAUAUUCAUAAUUAAUAAUAUUACACUGAUAUAUAAAUAAUAUUAAUAUAUUUAAUAUCAACAUUAUCGGUAUGUAUAUCCUUUUUAUAAUGUAGAUUAAAAUGUCACACUCUCUUAUUAUAUGUAAAAAAAAAAAAAAAAAAAAAGCAUUAUAAAGUAAUAAAAUAUAUAUCUCUUUCAGUUUGUAUCUACAUAUAUUAAUCUGUCAUAAGAACAGUUUAUAAAUAUACAUUCAUAAUUUAUUAAUAUAUUUUAUUAAUUUUUUCAUGCAUAUUAUAAUUAGGUUACACAUAUGUAUAUAUUAAAAAUACGUUCAUUUCAAAAGGGCAAAGAAAAUAUACAUUUUAUGUAAUAUGUAAUUUCUAAAUAUUUAUUUAUUUUUAUAUUUAAUAUAAAAUGUAUUUAUUAUAUUAAAGCAUAUAAUAUUAAUAACAUGAGCAUAAAUAUAUUAUAAAUAUAUAAAAAAAUAAAUGUAUGUAUAUUUUCUUUUUCCAUGUAUGUAUUAUAUAAUGAUCUGGGUAAUAAACUAUAAGACAAAAAUAUGUAUUAUCAUAUUUAUAUAUAGUUAAUAAAAAUAUUUUCUAUAUAUAAUAAGUGUUUAUCAAAAUAUUAUAUAUGUAUUUAUAUAUUUAUCUAUUUUUAUUUCAUUUGUUUUUUGUAAUAUUAUGUUACUAUAUGUAUAAGGUAAUAAAAUAUAUAUAUAUAUAUAUAUAUAUAUAUUUAUUUAUUUAAAAAAAGAUAUAUUUUUUCAGUAUAUAUAUAUAUAUAUAAACACAAUUUAGAAAAUUAUUUUAUAUAACAAGUGUGUAAAAAUGUAAAAAUGUAAAAAUAUAAAAAUGUAAAAAUGUAAAAAUAUAAAAAUAUAAAAAUAUUUCAUUCCACAAUUUUUUCUUAUUUUAAAUUUAAAUGGUAAAAAAAAAAAAAAUGAAAUAAGACAAUAUCCAAUUUUAUACUUUAAAAUAGUUCUACACAUAUAUGUAAAAAUAAAUAUAUAAGAAUAAAAAUAGGCAAUAUCACGGUUCAAAAUAUAUUGAAAAAAAAAAUAUAUAUAUAUAUAUAAAAUAAACAGUAUUAUAUUAUUUAACAAAGAAUUAACAAGAGGACAAAAUUAUAUUUAUAAAAAAUUAAUAUUAUAAAUAUAUUUAUAAAUGUAUACACAUUCAUUUAAAUAUUUAUUAAAUACAUAAAGUGAUAAAGACAAUAUAAGGUACGUCACAUAUUUCUAUCUUGCACUAUAUAAAUAUGAAUUAAUACAUUAAUAUGUAUAAAUAUAUAUAAGCGUACAAUAAUAUAUAUAUUAUUAUUGACAGAUAAAUAAAUAUAAAAUAUAUAUGUAUAAAUUUGAAUAUAUAUAUAAAAACAAGACAUUAAAUUAUCAUAAUUUUAUAUAAAUAUAUUCUAUGUAGUUAUACAUUUGUGUAUAUGUAAAUUUUACUAUACAUAUAUAUAUAUAUAUAUAUAUAUAUAUAAAGUUCAUUUAAAUUACUAGCUUUUUUUUCUUUUUUUUUUUUCAAUCUUUAUAAUUUAAAUAAAAUACUUAUAAAAUAUUUAUAUACGUUAAAAAAAAGAAAUAAAUAAAAUAAACACGUACAAAAUAUUAUAUUUCUUUUAGAUAUAAUUUUUUUUUAUUUUUUGCGUAUGUUUCUUGUUAUAUAUUUAGAUAAAGCAAAUUCAUUUGUAUUCUUAUGUAUCAUAUAAAUAUUAAAUAAUGUAUAUUUAAAAAAAAAAAAAAAAAUCCAUAAAUAUAUGUAUAAAUAAAUAAAUAUAUAUUAUAUAUAUAUAUAUAAUGUAAAUAUUUCGCAAUAUUUCAAAGUACAGAUUCAGGUAUACACAGUUGCAAAUAGAAGGGAAAAAAAAAAAAAAAAAAAAAAUUAAAAAAUUAAAUUAUAUAUAUUUUUUAAUUACAUAUAUUAAUUUACUGUUAUAUUGAAUAAAAUAUAUGUGUACUAUUAUAUAAAUAAAAGAAAAAAAAAAAAAAAAAAAAGAGUAAUUAAGACAUAUAUAUAUUUAUAUAUAUAUAUUUUGGUACAUAAAAAACAAGGCAAAUAUUUGAUACCAUUUAAAAGUAGUAUAUGUAGAAUUUUUUAAAAAAUAAAAGAAAUUAAUAAAAAAUUAUUAUAUGUAAUAUGCAACUAUUUUAUUAUUGUAUUGUAUAUACGAUACAUAUCUGUGCGUAUUUAUAUAUAUGAGACAAAUAUAAAAUUACAUGAACAUAUUAUAUAUAUAUAUAUAUAUAUAAUAAUGCUAAUAAAUGUUGACUUUUUUUUUUUUUUUUUUUUUUCUUUGUUUUUAUUAAUUUAUAAUAUAAAUAUAUAUACGCAUAAACUAUUCUUACACUCAAGAAAAUUACAAAAUAUAUUUAAAAAAAGCUUUUGAUGAACAUUUAUUUUUAUGUGUGAUUAUAUAUAUAUAUAUAUAUUAACACAUAUUAUGUAUAUAUAGUAUAGAACAUAUUAUAAAGGUCAUAUACAUUUCUUUAAGAACAUCAAAAAUGCCAUUUCAAAGUUCUUAUUAAAAAAUUAUACUUGUUCUAUAAAGAAAAUAAUAAAAUACUACAAAUAAAAUUAUUAAUGUAGAAAUGUUAUUAUUGUAUAUUAUGUAUAAAAUGUUUUUAUAUAUAUAUAUAUAUUACUUGGUUUUUUUAUAUAUAUUAAGGUUUUAAUAUUUUUCUAUAAAAUAUAAUUACAUUUUUUCAAAUAUAACUCUAAGUUUUAUAAAAAUAAAUAACAUAUUUAUAUUAUGUAAUAAAAAUAAAAUAAUUAUAUAUUUUAUCUUUUAUAAUACAGGUAUUUUUUCCUUUUUUUUUUUUAACUUAUAAAGUGUAAAUAUUAUUAUUUCAUAAACACAUUAUUCUAUUAUAACCACAUAUGUAUAAUAUUUUAAUUUUUUUUAAAAAAACAUUAUAUGUAUAUAUAUAUACAUAUAGUUAUUUAUAUAUUUGAAAAAAUAAAAAAUAAUUAAAAAAUAGUUACAUUUUAUUUAUU
rnacentral:sRNA from 1 species